rnacentral:rRNA from 1 species
ACGCUGGCGGCGUGCUUAACACAUGCAAGUCGAACGAACCUUCGGGUUAGUGGCGGACGGGUGAGUAACGCGUGAGAAUCUGCCCUCAGGAGGGGGAUAACGGUUGGAAACGACCGCUAAUACCCCAUAUGCCGAUAGGUGAAACGAAUUUCGCCUGAGGAUGAGCUCGCGUCUGAUUAGCUUGUUGGUGAGGUAAUGGCUCACCAAGGCUUCGAUCAGUAGCUGGUCUGAGAGGAUGAUCAGCCACACUGGGACUGAGACACGGCCCAGACUCCUACGGGAGGCAGCAGUGGGGAAUUUUCCGCAAUGGGCGAAAGCCUGACGGAGCAACGCCGCGUGAGGGAAGAAGGCCUCUGGGCUGUAAACCUCUUUUCUCAAGGAAGAAGAUAUGACGGUACUUGAGGAAUAAGCCACGGCUAAUUCCGUGCCAGCAGCCGCGGUAAUACGGGAGUGGCAAGCGUUAUCCGGAAUUAUUGGGCGUAAAGCGUCCGCAGGCGGCCUUUCAAGUCUGCUGUUAAAGAGUGGAGCUUAACUCCAUCAUGGCAGUGGAAACUGAUAGGCUUGAGUAUGGUAGGGGCAGAGGGAAUUCCCGGUGUAGCGGUGAAAUGCGUAGAUAUCGGGAAGAACACCAGUGGCGAAGGCGCUCUGCUGGGCCAUUACUGACGCUCAUGGACGAAAGCCAGGGGAGCGAAAGGGAUUAGAUACCCCUGUAGUCCUGGCCGUAAACGAUGAACACUAGGUGUCGGGGGAAUCGACCCCUUCGGUGUCGUAGCUAACGCGUUAAGUGUUCCGCCUGGGGAGUACGCACGCAA